GUCAGGAUUGUAACAAAUCAAGUACUCGGGACACAAUAAAUUCGUUCGCCCCCCUUUCUGUGAUACAAGAAGAGUCGACUUCUCCUGUGGCCUCCAGCUCCGAGUUGAAGCCCGUUGUCGACAGUCGGAGACACGUUUUUACAGAGAGCGAACACGACGUUUCGGAAAAACAUUCUGCCCGCAAAAGUGACGUUAACGCAUCGGGGGCACAUUCGCACAAGGCGUCGACGAAGGAGCUAAUGACUAUGCAAGAAGAUUGCACAGGACCCCGUUCAGAUGAACAGGUUGGCCCUUCAAGAGAAAGUUCUGGCGAACAAAGCCGCCCGAACGAGCGCCUUCGCCAUUUGCGCUCUCGAUGGCGAGCGGCGCAGCGAAUCCUAGACGAUAUCGGCGCUCGGUUAAACGAGCCUGCUGGACCACGUGCACCGACGGAAGUGCCCGCCG